GGUUUGGUUGUGCCCAUGUUCUCUCAUGGGGGCAGCCACUCAGUUCAGCUCUGGACAGAGGAGACUGGCGAUUUGGAUCCGCCAUGUUGUUCCGGCCGUCGGUGCUGCUUCCCCGGCUACUUCUUGGGCGGAGGAGGGAGCUCAGCUGCUUCUUGGGCGGAGGAGGGAGCUCGGUCCAUCUGUUCGCCCAGCCGCCAGAUCCAUGGGGGACAUGUCCACGAUUCAACGCCCGCCCGACGUUGUCACCAAGGUAAUAAAUACUCCAUUCUAAUCCAUCCACGACUGACUGUUAUUUCGAUUCUCCUCAAGAAGCAUAUUCGCUUGAUUAGCAUGGUCUUCUACAGCAGUAUUAUGCUCAUGCAAAUCACCAAUAUAUAGCAGCAGCUAAUUUGACUCGAUCGAAAAAUACUUACAAAAGGCAAGCUAACAUAUCAUGUACAAAACUGAGAUUAAUUGAGAAUUUUAGUUGUUUGUAAGACCUUCUAUAAGAUAUUGAUAGUUUGUUAGAACAUUCAGAUGUCAUUUUGCUUAUCAAUUUUUUGGGCCGGACCACCCUGCUGUCAAAUGCUAGCUCCGCCACUGCCAAGGAGGUAUAUAACUAUCCUAGUUCUGAAAUUUAAAAAUGAAGUACAAAGUCCGAAGACAGUAUAUGUAAGAGAACUUGCAAUAACUGCAAAGUUCCAAGGUCUAAUACAAGAACAUGGAAAUUUGCAUGUGUACAAAAGAUCCCCUAUGUUUGUCAUCGGAAACACUAUAUACCAAAAAGGAUGGCCGUGCCAAAAUCAUUUUAUAUUUAUAUUGAAUGAGAGAAAAUAAUGCAUUGCAAUGAUUCCAAUUAUUUUAUAUUUAUAUCAUUGUAAAACCUCCUCGUCAAGAAGACUACAUACACUUUAUGUCUGCUAUACAAUGUGCAUCAGGACCUUCUAGGUAAAAAGAAUCAGGCGGUGUAACUAUCAAUUAGCUAUGCAAUGUUCUAGCUUAUAAGAAAAUCAACUUUGACUGCAUGUCUUAUGGCAGGUAAGAGUAUUCCAGAAACAUGUAUGUCAAAAUGAAACAAAUAAAGAACCAUUAUUGUGGUUGCACACAAAAAAUAUAACACAGGUAUGAACGCGAUCAACAUUAAGGCGGAGGAAGGGGCUUUACUUUCAUACCUCGGAGUAGUCUAUGGGAGGCGGAUGACCCGGAGAUAGGAAGCAUAGACUGCAAGAAGCACAAUCAGAUCUAUGCUUUCAGUUAUCCAUACUGCUGGGUAGAGAAGGAGGAACCGAAGCAAACAUCACCUCAAAAAAAAUGACAAGAAUAAUUUAUUGAGAACUCCAUGUAGUCAGGAGUAAGACAUUUCUGCCUCUAAAUCCCAGUAACAUGCCGACAAACCAUUCAUAAAUUUUAAGUAGCACCAUGCAGAUUAUCUGGAAAGAAAAUACAAACAAACAUAAGAAAAUUCUCAACCUCCCCCAUCCAUCAAUAAAGUGAGACCAACAACCACUUAGGUUAGGAGUAGCAUGCUCGAGCCAUGUAGCAAGUGAACCAGUAACACUGGGACUACUUCAUCUAUAAAAAUAUGCAAACUGGUCGAGAAUACAAAACCAGUUAAAUAAAGGUCAAGAUUACUGCUAGUGUUGUGAACAAGUUCAGUCAUUUUCCCAUUCUCAACCUCAGGGCUCACGCGGUAUGAAUUUCCAUUGGAUAAAAAAGCUAAUACUAUGUUUUUUUAGUUUUCCAUCUCUAUCUUUCCAAUAAAAUAUGGUGUUAUCUUUUCCAUGGUCUUUAGUUUUCAGCUUUCAGCCUAUACAUGGUGCGUAAAUGAUUACUGAAUUGCUCCUCCCUAUCCAGACUAAUUGAUUUCAACCGCCAAAUCACAGCAGAGAGGACGAACAGUGAAUAAAUUGGAUGGGAAGGAGUUGCAAUACCUGUGGAUGGGUUGGAGACGGCAAGGUCGCAGGCAAGGACACCAUCCAAGCAUAUGUUUAUGUUUUUGUGAAACUGGGGAAGGAUGUGAAAACUGAGCUGCAAGUAAAACCAUAGCUUCCUUUUGUUUAGGUUCUGCUGAGAAGUCCCAUAGCAUGAUAUCUUCAGAACAGCAUGUGGUGUGCCAGUGGCAUCCAAACAAAAAGAUUUGGAACAGGGAGAAUAGAAAUACACCAAAAGAGAACAUCAUCGUCUUUGAAAUUUUUCUCACGCCUGGCCUAAUUGCAAAGAUAUUCUUAAAUGCCCAUAUAUUUAUUUAGCUAAUUACUAUAAGCAAGAUAAGCCGACCUCAUACAAAAAG
rnacentral:lncRNA from 1 species